CAGCAGCCGCGGUAAUACGGAGGGUGCAAGCGUUAAUCGGAAUUACUGGGCGUAAAGCGCACGCAGGCGGUCUGACAAGUCAGAUGUGAAAUCCCCGGGCUUAACCUGGGAACUGCAUUUGAAACUGUCAGGCUGGAGUCUUGUAGAGGGGGGUAGAAUUCCAGGUGUAGCGGUGAAACGCGUAGAGAUCUGGAGGAAUACCGGUGGCGAAGGCGGCCCCCUGGACAAAGACUGACGCUCAGGUGCGAAAGCGUGGGGAGCAAACAGGAUUAGAUACCCGAGUAGUCCCUGUCUCUUAUAC
rnacentral:rRNA from 1 species